CCAAAGGCGCGUUGCUGGCGAGGGCGGAUGGAGGCUUCCAGAGACCAGCUCUCAGCAAUGUUGGCGCAGCUGUGAGGCUGGGCUGAGGGAGUGAGGGAGCGUUGGGUGACUCAGGGUGUCACCCAGGAAAUACACUGCUGUGUUCUUUUAAAAUAAAUGAUGCUAACAUCUCAUUUUUGUGUGGUGAUUGACAGUGUUUAAGGCAGAUGUGUUUCCACGGUUGAAAUUUAUCCUUCAACCAGCUGUUUGAGGUGCAGGUAAGAACACUGGAGAAAAGUUCAGCAGGGUCGGAGGUGGGGGAGAGCCCCUGUUUUAUGCAGGGUGAGCCGAGAAAGCCUGCCAAGAAGUCGCCGUGGGAUCAGAGCCCGAGAGAAGUGAGGAAGCCCCUGGGGUGGUUCUGGGGCACAUGCCGGACGACAGCACAGACCACAGUACGUGCCCCUCAGCUCUCCAAGAUGGGCUGAAGCCAGAUGACAGAGCAUGAGACCCGAGGAGGAACAGCCUGGGGGUCGACGGCACGCCAAGCAGAAGUGGACAAUAUCUGGUCCCAGCUCACGCCUUGGCUUAAUCGCAGCCACAUGGGCAAACUCAGGGCUGCACAGCACAGUUGUAAUUGGAAUAGAGUGUCCUCUGGGAGACUGUUGGGGAUGAAGCUGUUCACUGCAUGAGACGACGCACUGCUGCAGAUAUAAUCCGUUUACCGACGAUCGUAACGGUGGCUAACGUUUACUGCGUGCCUAUCGUGCCCCCGGCACAGCGUUCGAUACCCUGGGAGGAUUACCUCAUUAGUUCUCAUAACACAUCGCACAGAGUUUCCACCUUGCCUGCAUCUUGGAAUGACCUGGGAAAGUUUUACUACUGCAGGUACCUGGUCCCAGAGCUACUAAUUUAACUCAUCUGAGAUGUGGUCCACUCAUAAGGUAAGAGAGAUAUAUAUGUGUAAACUCUAAACAUGUCCCUCUUGUGCUAACAAUGUAUUCCUGGAGAAAGGCCCAGGCUCUUAACGUGGCUAUAUUACACGGCUCUUUGGCAUGUGGUCCCUCCCUCCUUACCAGCCCCCUUUUAUACAGCUCUUUCUCUCACUCAGCACAUUGCCUCUCUGGCUUUCUUGACUUCUGGGAACGUUCAUGCUUCUUUCUGCCUUAGGGUCUUUACAUGCCGAUCACAAUUCUCUUCCCCGUCUGUCUGGUUGCCUCCUUCUUGUUCUUCUGGUCUUAACUUGAUACAGCUGAUCACAAAAGUGGCCAUAAUUCUCCACCCCUCCUCUAGCUGCACUUUUUGCCAUGUGACUUUGCAGCUCUUUCCAUUGGGAGCCGGAUUCUCUUUUCCUGCCCUUUGAAUCUGAGGUGGCCAUGCAGCCUGCCUUAAUCGAUAGAAUCCUGCAGAAGAAAUGUGCCAGUUCUGAGCCUGAGCCUUGCAGGCUUCUGCUUGCUAUCCUGGAACCCCACCAUCGCCAUGUGAAUGACCCUGGUCUGCCCUCCUGGAGGAUCAUAACUGAGGCCAUCCCAGACCAACCAACCCGGCCCACAAACUCACGAGGAAGCCUGGCUGAGAUCAGAGCCCGGGCCAGACCCACAGGACCUUUCAGUUGAUCUACAGACUUGUGGGCAAUGAUAAAUGGUGGUUAUUUUAAGCCACUAACUUUGGGUUGAUUUGUUAUGCAACAGUAGGUAGCUGAUACACUUCAAUAUAAUUUCCUAUUUCUCUUUGAGCCUAAAUCGGGUUCUCCCUUUAUCCACUCUCAUAGCACCUUAUACUUGUCAACUGUAUAAUGGAUGACAAUGCUUAUCAGAACUAAAAAUUGUGUAAAUAAUACUUUUUUCUCUCUCUGAUUAGAGUUUAAGCCCCAUGAGAUCAGAGACCACAUUUGAUUUGCUCCCUGAAAUAUUCCUACCAUCUGGCAUUAUUUUAUACACGGUAUAUGCUACACUUGAUCUUAACCAAGAGGCCGAGAAGCGAUACACAUGGUAAAUGCUAAAUAAAUACUUGUCAAAAGACAAACACAAGGAUGAGUUCAUAUGCUCACUAAACAUGUCCUAAGUACUUUCUCCAUUUCAGGUACCAUGCAAGAUGUUAAAGAUAUCAGAAUGAAUAAGGCAUAGUCUUUGUUCUUAAGGAAAUUCACGGUUUAAAAGCUGGGACAUUAACAUGUAAAUAAAAAUUGUAGGCCACGUUAAUGAGUGUAAUUGAGGGUGUUUAGCGUGUUGAUAAGAGCAGGGUAGAUCAGUGGGUUGAAUAAAUCUGGAGAAAAGAAGUUCCUGGAAAAUGGUUUAUGGAAUAAAUAUUUGAAAUGAUGAUUCUACAUCUGACGAGUGUGUGGCAAUGGGUGUUCAAAGGCCAUAAGUGGUAUUGCCAUUGGAAAUAGGACUUUUCAGAAUGAUUAACGGAGCUUGCUAAAUUUCCAUACAAGCCAAAAUGCAAACUUCCCUUGAAUUACAUAACAGCGGCAUUUACGGAAAACUCAAAACACAUAAAACCAUGUUUUAAAACUGUAUGAAAAUGAGAUCCUUGGUGUUUAUAUGUAAAUGCAAUUAAGUAUUAGGCUCAGAUACUUACAAAUAGGUUUUUGCCCAUAUGACUGCAGGGGCAUUUGAAAAGUAUCUGGAAUGUGGGGUAAUUUUUCGUUGCAUGGUCAUGUCCUAUGCAUUCCGUGAUCGGCAUCUGUGGCCAUUGCCCAUUAAAUGGCAGUAACAUCCCCUCUCAAUAUUGUGACAGCCGCAAAUUCACUUCAAAUUUCCGAGACUGUUUUACCAACGUGGAGCUACAUCUGCACUGAACUACUCAGGUAAAAAAAAAAAAAAAAAAAAAUUACUUUGAGAAAUUAGCGUUAACGUUUUAUGGAACAGUGUUAUUUAAAAAACGUACGCUAUCUAUGCACAUGUUCUCACACUUCUAAAUUACUUGGGUAUUGUGGCAAAAGAUGAGUCAACACUUUCUUGAGGGAGAAAGAAAGAAUCCACUCCAUUUCUCUCUCGGGAAGCAAAUAACCUUACUAUCUGAGCUGUUCACCGAAGCAUGUGGACUGGAAGUCCGGCAUACCUGUAUUUCCACAGCACUGGGGGACAACCCGGCUAAAAACUCACUUCGUGGUUCUGAGUCAACAACAGCUCAAAAACAUGUAAAAAUUGCCUGGGGACUUAUCUUGAAGAGAGCAAUUCCACAUUAAUUUUUACAGAUUAGUGAAGAAUCCUAGUUGGAAUACAUUUGUAAGCAUUUCACAAAUCAUUUUAAAAGGUAUAUAAUCAACGAGCCGAUAUUUGAGUACCUACAGUAUGUGAAAUCACUGUCCUAGCCGCUCUGAGAACCCAAAGAAUCCUACUAAGUGUUUCUGAUCUUUAAGGAACCGAAAAAUCUAAAUCUGGUAACAGGAUAUAAUCAUGCAAAAUUUACGGAGACACAAGCUGCAAAUACCUAAUGAGUGGUACAGAACCCAAGGGCUUUAGAAGUUCAAGGGCAAAGAGAAUUGGAAUGACCAAAGAAGUUUCCCCAGAGGCUGGAGCAGGCCCUAAAGAUAGAUAUGAGCCAAAUAAGAAAAUUAGGGAGGGCAUUCCAGCGGAAGCGAUGGCAUGGGAAAAGAAAGGAGUCAUACAAUAUGAAUGUCAUAUUCUAGAAAUUAUGAGUAGACUCAUCUGGCCACAGUCACACUAGGUAGUAGCUAAUAAGGUACAUUGUAAAUUAGAGCCAGAUAGCUAAACAUCUUUAAUACCACACUAAGAUAUCAGAAUUGGUGUUCUAAGGAAAGAGGGGUUAUUAAACAUUUUGAUCAGGAAUUAUUUAGGUAUUGGGAGAAACCCUUUCUUUUUCUCUCCUCACUUAUAUUUCAUGGUGAAUAAACCUCUAGUGCAGAAAUACUUCUGGCCUCAUAAUCCCCUAAUUCAAUUCUCCCACCCCCGCCGGGAGAGGGGAAUUACUUUUCUGAUUGAGAAUCUGAGAGAUAAAUCUGACUUUUACAGGGAUAGGUCCACAUGGAGAGACCUGCGUCCAAAUGUGCUUGUGAUGGGGUAAGCCAAGCCUGCCUAAUUCAGAAUCAGGUGCUAGCAUUCCCUUUUUUUUUCUUUUGUUUUUAAUGUUUUUAUUUAUUUUUGAGACAG